AAAUGAAUAGACGGGGACCCGCACAAGCAGCGGAGCAUGUGGUUUAAUUCGAAGCAACGCGAAGAACCUUACCAAGACUUGACAUCGCAUGAAAGCAUCAGAGAUGAUGCCCUCCCUUCGGGGACAUGUAGACAGGUGGUGCAUGGUUGUCGUCAGCUCGUGUCGUGAGAUGUUGGGUUAAGUCCCGCAACGAGCGCAACCCUUAUCAAUAGUUGCCAAUAUUAAGUUAGGAACUCUAUUGAGACUGCCGUGGAUAACACGGAGGAAGGUGGGGAUGACGUCAAAUCAUCAUGCCCCUUACGUCUUGGGCUACACACGUGCUACAAUGGCUAUUACAAAGAGCAGCGAAGCGGUAACGUGGAGCAAAUCUCAAAAAGAUAGUCUCAGUUCAGAUUGUGGGCUGCAACCCGCCCACAUGAAGUCGGAGUUGCUAGUAAUCCCGAAUCAGAAUGUCGGGGUGAAUGCGUUCCCGGGUCUUGUACACACCGCCCGU
rnacentral:rRNA from 1 species